AUGUCAUGAACAAUUAAACACCCUACAACUCACACCGACACUCUUGUGUAUCAAUCUGAUUGUGUUGUGCAGUAAGCAGGCUCAGGUUUACAACUGUGGCUCCUUCCACCUUCAAAGAAUAGGCAAGAGGACCGACCAUAGAGAAUAGUUAUAUCAGCUGUGUCAGUGAUCCUCUUCUGAACUGCCUGAAACGGAGUGCACAGCAUGAUCAGAGGUGACUACCUCAUGAAGCUGGUUGAGAGAAUGCCAAGAGUGCAAAGCUGUCAUCAGGGCAAAGAGUGGCUACUUUGAAGAAUCUCAAAUAUAAAAUAUAUUUUGCUUUAACACUUUUUGGUUACUACAUGAUUCCAUGUGUGUUAUUUCAUAGUUUUGAUGCAUUCAUUAUUCUACAAUGUAGAAAAUAGUAAAAAUAAAGAAAAACCAUUGAAUGAGAAUGUGUGUCCAAACUUUUGACUGGUACUGUAUAUUAUGAACAUGCAUUUGAACUUUUCUAAAAUGAUUACAGAUCCAGCCAAAAGAUUAUUCAACUUUGAUGGA